rnacentral:rRNA from 1 species
UGGGGAAUAUUGGACAAUGGGCGGAAGCCUGAUCCAGCCAUGCUGCGUUUGUGAAGAAGGCCUUUUGGUUGUAAAGCACUUUAAGCGAGGAGGAGGCUCUUCUAGUUAAUACCUAGGAUGAGUGGACGUUACUCGCAGAAUAAGCACCGGCUAACUCUGUGCCAGCAGCCGCGGUAAUACAGAGGGUGCAAGCGUUAAUCGGAUUUACUGGGCGUAAAGCGCGCGUAGGCGGCUAAAUGAGUCGGAUGUGAAAUCCCCGAGCUUAACUUGGGAAUUGCAUCCGAUACUGGUUAGCUAGAGUGUGGGAGAGGAUGGUAGAAUUCCAGGUGUAGCGGUGAAAUGCGUAGAGAUCUGGAGGAAUACCGAUGGCGAAGGCAGCCAUCUGGCCUAACACUGACGCUGAGGUACGAAAGCAUGGGGAGCAAACAGG